rnacentral:rRNA from 1 species
AGCUCCAAUAGCGUAUAUUAAAGUUGUUGCAGUUAAAAAGCUCGUAGUCGAAUUUCUGGUUAGAGAGGGUGGUCCGACAUCUUUGUGGGUACUUAUCCUCUCCGGCCAUCUUUGGGACUAGCCUGUCUGGCAUUGAGUUGUCGGGCUGGGGAUUCCCAUCAUUUACUGUGAGUUAAUUGGAGUGUUCAAAGCAGACUUAUGUCGUUGAACAUCUUAGCAUGGAAUAAUAAGAUAGGACAGCAGUGCUAUUUUGUUGGUUUGCGCGCCGCUGUAAUGAUGAAUAGGGACAGUUGUGGAUAUUCGUAUUCAGUUGUAAGAGGUGAAAUUCUUAGAUUAAUUGAAGACGAACUACUGCGAAAGCAUUUAUCAGGGAUGUUUUCA